rnacentral:rRNA from 1 species
UGGAGAGUUUGAUCCUGGCUCAGAACGAACGUUGGCGGCGUGCUUAACACAUGCAAGUCGAGCGAGAAAGCCCCCGCAAGGGGGUGAGUAAAGCGGCGCACGGGUGAGUAACACGUGGGUGACGUACCCUCCGUUGGGGGAUAACACCUCGCAAGGGGUGCUAAUACCGCGUACGACCCUUCGAUCACGGUCGAGGGGUGAUAGGAGCAAUCCGGCGGAGGAUCGGCCCGCGGCCCAUCAGCUAGUUGGCGGGGUAAUGGCCCACCAAGGCAACGACGGGUAGCUGGUCUGAGAGGAUAGCCAGCCACACUGGAACUGAGACACGGUCCAGACUCCUACGGGAGGCAGCAGUGGGGAAUCUUGCGCAAUGGGCGAAAGCCUGACGCAGCGACGCCGCGUG